AGGUUGAACGCUGGCGGCAUGCCUUACACAUGCAAGUCGAACGGCAGCACGGGAGCAAUCCUGGUGGCGAGUGGCGAACGGGUGAGUAAUAUAUCGGAACGUGCCCAGUCGUGGGGAUAACGUAGCGAAAGCUACGCUAAUACCGCAUACGAUCUACGGAUGAAAGCGGGGGAUCGCAAGACCUCGCGCGAUUGGAGCGGCCGAUAUCAGAUUAGGUAGUUGGUGAGGUAAAGGCUCACCAAGCCGACGAUCUGUAGCUGGUCUGAGAGGACGACCAGCCACACUGGGACUGAGACACGGCCCAGACUCCCUACGGGAGGCAGCAGUGGGGAAUUUUGGACAAUGGGCGCAAGCCUGAUCCAGCAAUGCCGCGUGCAGGAUGAAGGCCU
rnacentral:rRNA from 1 species